GCCGGCUUCAUAUAUCAAAGACAAGGAAACUGAAUCUGGUGGUGAUUAAGUCAAUUUUAUGAAUCUCUAUAAAAGAUCAGUUCCCAGCAAGCCAGGUGCCACAAAGGACUUGUAGGUAUCUUCCGUCUAGAGCUCUUUAUAAGCCGAACUAUUCCUCUCAGCACAUGGAUGUCAGUUAGGAAAACGAAAUCCUGGUGCAGUAGUGCCCCCACCCUAAUGUGGAGUAUAUUACUUAAGGUAUAGGCCAUCUCUUUCCUGGAUUGAAUGCGCCUCCUCUGCUCGCCCCUUCUGGAAGCCUCUGUGUGUGGAUGCAGAAUCUGCAGACUCUCAUUCCAGAAGGCUGAUAACAGCCCUGCUUAAAAAGAACGGGUGAUAAUCACAAUGACCAACGCGCAGCUGUAUCAGCAGACUACUUAUGCCAAAGUGAACAUUGGCUCACGCCGGAGUCUGAACAACAGUGCAACUCACAGUUCAGAAUACCCUGACUCCAAAGUUCUUCAGGGUGAAUUGAAUUUAGAACACACAGAAAACGCAUAAGAAUUAGUCGUGAGUUGGAGUCCUUCUGGAUUACACUGAGUGAUAGUUUGGAAGAUUUAAAAAACGGCACCAUUUCCACAGCUUUGUGGCACUCAAUCUUUUGAUGUAAAUAUAAAUUACUUUGUUUUCU